rnacentral:rRNA from 1 species
UACGGGGGGAGCAAGCGUUGUUCGGAUUUACUGGGCGUAAAGGGCGCGUAGGCGGCCAGCGCAAGUCAGUUGUGAAAUCUCCGGGCUUAACUCGGAAAGGUCAACUGAUACUGCGCGGCUAGAGUGCGGAAGGGGCAACUGGAAUUCUCGGUGUAGCGGUGAAAUGCGUAGAUAUCGAGAGGAACACCUGCGGCGAAGGCGGGUUGCUGGGCCGACACUGACGCUGAUGCGCGAAAGCCAGGGGAGCGAAUGGG